rnacentral:rRNA from 1 species
UGGUCUUGACAUCCCGAGAAUCUCAAGGAAACUUGAGAGUGCCUCUUUGAGGAAUUCGGUGACAGGUGCUGCAUGGCUGUCGUCAGCUCGUGUCGUGAGAUGUUGGGUUAAGUCCCGCAACGAGCGCAACCCUUGUCUUUAGUUGCCAGCAUUAAGUUGGGCACUCUAAAGAGACUGCCGGUGUCAAACCGGAGGAAGGUGGGGAUGACGUCAAGUCCUCAUGGCCUUUAUGACCAGGGCUACACACGUACUACAAUGGCAUAGACAAAGGGCAGCGACAUCGCGAGGUGAAGCGAAUCCCGUAAACUAUGUCUCAGUCCGGAUUGGAGUCUGCAACUCGACUCCAUGAAGUUGGAAUCGCUAGUAAUCGUAGAUCAGCAUGCUACGGUGAAUACGUUCCCGGGCCU